UCUGGCCUCCCUGAAUGUGUUGACUUCAGGUU
rnacentral:piRNA from 1 species